rnacentral:rRNA from 1 species
AUUGAACGCUGGCGGCAGGCCUAACACAUGCAAGUCGAGCGGAUGACGGGAGCUUGCUCCUUGAUUCAGCGGCGGACGGGUGAGUAAUGCCUAGGAAUCUGCCUGGUAGUGGGGAACAACGUUUUGAAAGGAACGCUAAUACCGCAUACGUCCUACGGGAGAAAGCAGGGGACCUUCGGGCCUUGCGCUAUCAGAUGAGCCUAGGUCAGAUUAGCUAGUUGGUGGGGUAAUGGCUCACCAAGGCGACGAUCCGUAACUGGUCUGAGAGGAUGAUCAGGCACACUGGAACUGAGACACUGUCCAGACUCCUACGGGAGGCAGCAGUGGGGAAUAUUGGACAAUGGGCGAAAGCCUGAUCCAGCCAUGCCGCGUGUGUGAAGAAGGUCUUCGGAUUGUAAAGCACUUUAAGUUGGGAGGAAGGGCAGUAAGCUAAUAUCUUGCUGUUUUGACGUUACCGACGGAAUAAGCACCGGCUAACUCUGUGCCAGCCGCCGCUGUAA